GACGAACGCUGGCGGCGUGCUUAACACAUGCAAGUCGAGCGGAAAGGCCCUUUCGGGGGUACUCGAGCGGCGAACGGGUGAGUAACACGUGAGUAAUCUGCCCCGGACUUUGGGAUAGCCACCGGAAACGGUGAUUAAUACCGGAUAUGACCAAUCCUCGCAUGGGGUGCUGGUGGAAAGUUUUUUCGGUUCGGGAUGUGAUCGCGGCCUAUCAGCUUGUUGGUGGGGUAAUGGCCUACCAAGGCUUUGACGGGUAGCCGGCCUGAGAGGGUGGCCGGGCACACAGGGACUGAGACACGGCCCAGACUCCUGCGGGAGGCAGCAGUGGGGAAUAUUGGACAAUGGGCGGAAGCCUGAUCCAGCAACGCCGCGUGAGGGAUGACGGCCUUCGGGUUGUGAACCUCUUUCAGCACCGACGAAGCUCCGCUUUGUGGUGGUUUGACGGUAGGUGCAGAAGAAGGACCGGCCAACUACGUGCCAGCCGCCGCAGUAACAC
rnacentral:rRNA from 1 species